UAUAGAGUUUACAACUCCUAAACCCACUGUGAAUCUAUCUGUGUUGCUGUUCCUUUGGCAGGCGGUUCCUGGGAGGAGCCUCGAGCCUAACGGCGCCUGCCAUUGGGGCUGAAAACUCUUGAGUUUAAUAGUUGUCUGAGCUUUUACAAAUAAGAAUCAAAACUUUCAACAACGGAUCUCUUGGUUCUGGCAUCGAUGAAGAACGCAGCGAAAUGCGAUAAGUAAUGUGAAUUGCAGAAUUCAGUGAAUCAUCGAAUCUUUGAACGCACCUUGCACCCUUUGGCAUUCCGAAGGGUAUGCUCGUUUGAGUGUCAUUGUACUCUCACACUCCCGAUCGUUUGGUUGGGAGCGGUGGACUUGGGUGUUGCUGCUUGACCGUGGCUCACCUUAAAUGCAGUAGUGCAACUCUCGGUUGGACAUAGUACGGCGUGAUAAGUGUCUUCGCCGGCACCUCCUCACAGAGGGUGGCCGAUCGGGAGCUCUGUGCUUCCAACCGUCUUCGGACAACCACUGACAACUUG
rnacentral:misc_RNA from 1 species